GAAUGUUCAAUGCGGAAGACAAACACGGAACACUGAAGGCUUGACAAACUCCCACAGACCCGAGGCAAGUUUCUAAGGAGUUUGUGUGGGACCAAAUUGUUUUACGUGCAUAACCAAACAACCAUGUGGCCAAAUCAAGGUCCACUCCCUCCGAUAGGACCACCAAACCCUGCAUAUCCUCCUGGCUACAACCCAGCUUUCCCUCCGACUCCUUCUUCAGGAACAUUCCCCCAGCCUCCACCUCCACCGUACCCAUCUGUUCAGUACCCAGCUGGCCACUACCCACCCGUCAAUUAUCCAGCUGGCCAAUACCCAGCUUAUGUAAACCCAGCCAUGGUACCAAACCCAGCUCCAGGCACAAUGCCCUAUGGAGCCCCAGGAGCUCAUCCUCAUCCUUAUCCUGUAGCUCCAGGUGGAUAUCCGGUCGUCCGUCCUGCAGGCGUUUAUCCAGGUCAUUAUCCACGCUCUCCUAAAGGGUGUCAUUAUAAAGGCUACCACAGAGCUUAUCCUGCCGGUGUACCUUCCAUGUCUGGUGGGUUAGCUGGAGGUCUGGCACUAGCGGGCAUGGGGCUGAUGGGACAUAAAGCCCAAAAAAAGAUGAGGAAGAAGAUGAAGAAAGCACAUAAAGCUCACAAGUGGCACAAACAUGGCUGCAAGUCCUCCAGCAGCAGCAGCAGCAGUAGUGAUUCAGACUGAGGGCAUCUGUCCAAAACACAGCUUUCACAGCUCUUCAAAAGGUCAACCUGACUAACAGUUAUCACUAAAAGGUCAUUAUACUUAUUUUAAGAGGGUUUCCUAAAAAUGUAGUAUUUUCUUACAUCUCUAAUGGGCUAUUUAUAUUACUAGGAGUGCAGGGUUUUUGUUGUAAAAUGUAUAAACUAUGAAAAAACACAUGUAAAAUUAUUUGAACUACUGUUUUCCUUGUGGUUAGGACCAAUACUGCCAGUUACAUUGAUGUGAAUCUGUCCAGACUCAGAACAAAAACAAGAUGCUGAGGCAGAAUAAAUAUGAUUUCUUUCUUUAUGUACAAACUAUUUUUGUUUUUGGUUUACUGUGGUAAUGAUGUGGAAUUAUUAUUUUUAUUUUACUGUGUUCUCUGAAUUUUAUUUUAUUUUUUAUUUUUUUACAAUGUCAUACAUUUUUUUCAAAGCUUUUUCACUUCAUUUCUGUUUACAUUACUAUAUUACAUUGAUUAAUUAAAACACUUCAAAAUGUAUUCAUGUGUUGUGUCUUCAUAUUAUGUUCAUUAUGUAAAAUAGGUAUCAAAUAGGCUGUGAAAAACUGUAAGAAGUUGUACGGUUAUGAACUGGUCUCAACACUAUGUAAUGAGUAAUUGUAUAGUGUUUGUGUAUUUGAUGUGUGAUCUGAUUGUGCAGUGAUGUGAUUGUGCUGAAAGAAUAAAAAUAAAAAGUUGUGAAUUGAGGC
rnacentral:lncRNA from 1 species